UACGAAGGGGGCUAGCGUUGCUCGGAAUCACUGGGCGUAAAGCGCACGUAGGCGGACUCUUAAGUCGGUGGUGAAAUCCUGGAGCUCAACUCCAGAACUGCCUUCGAUGCUGAGAGUCUCAGAGUCCGGGAGAGGUGAGUGGAACUCCGAGUGUAGAGGUGAAAUUCGUAGAUAUUCGGAAGAACACCAGUGGCGAAGGCGGCUCACUGGCCCGGUACUGACGCUGAGGUGCGAAAGCGUGGGGAGCAAACAGG
rnacentral:rRNA from 1 species